GGUACCGUUGUUACGACUUCUCCCUCGUUGCUGACCCAGGUUCGAUAGUACCAAUUAGGCAUCACCUCGCCAAGAACCAACUUCGAUGAAGCGACGGGCGGUGUGUGCAAGGAG
rnacentral:rRNA from 1 species